rnacentral:lncRNA from 1 species
UGUAUCUUUGUGUUCUUUUUUUAACUCUUUUCGGUGACUGGUUUAAUUUUUUAUCAAAAUAGGUUACAUACUGUAGGUCACACACAACCGAUUCUUUUGAUAUAAAUAUUCAAGGAGAUGUGGGUAAACUUAUAUGCUUUUAAGCUUUUUUUGUUUUAAAUUUGAACAAAAUUGUGACCUUUUGUGGUGUUUUUUUUUUAUGUUUGAGGAAAAACCUAUUAAUACAUGUUGUCAAGGAUAGAUAUACAUGAAUUGAUACAUGUAUAUAAGUGUGUGUUUGUGUGCAAGGGUGGAUCAAAGAUUUUGGUUAAGUGGGUGGUGACAAAUCUUUUAACAGAUAAUUUUUGGAAAAUAUGUUUGUGUCAGCUAUAUUAGUUUGACCUUGUCCUUGACUGGUCAAGGUCAGAGUUAUUUUGCUUAAUAAUUCUAACGGAACAAAGCCAUGAAAAGUGAAGGUACACUUAGUUCCGAAACUUAUUCUUAUUUUUAUGUGAUUUUCAUGUUUUGUUUCCAGUAGCACUGUAUUGAGAGAAAAAAAUUGUCACAAUUUGUUUUAUAAAAAAAUCAAAAUCAAAAGUUACAAAAUCAAUUGGAUAUCAACUAUUUAGUAUUUUUCUGGG